rnacentral:sRNA from 1 species
GCACGGCCUCCGCCGAGUCCGGUGCGCCGCCGCGCAGCCGGAGCCGGGGACCCACCGAACUUUGGGGUGAAUCGGCCCGACCCCACCCAGGGACAGGCCGUAGGGCAACCCUUCCGGACCACCCGCCCGAACCCGACAGCUAACUCGGUAGGCGGAGUACGGAAGGAGU